AAACUUUCAACAACGGAUCUCUUGGCUCUGGCAUCGAUGAAGAACGCAGCGAAAUGCGAUAAGUAAUGUGAAUUGCAGAAUUCAGCGAAUCAUCGAAUCUUUGAACGCACAUUGCGCCCGCUGGUAUUCCAGCGGGCAUGCCUGUCCGAGCGUCAUUU
rnacentral:rRNA from 1 species